rnacentral:pre_miRNA from 1 species
AAUAGAAUUGCUGAGUCAUAUGGUAACUCUAUAUUUAAUAUUUUGAGGAACUGUUAGAUUGUUUUCUAAAAUGAUGGCACCAUUUUACAUUCCCACCAGUGUU